UCGAGCGGUAUUGUUUCUUCGGAAACGAGAGAGCGGCGCACGGGUGCGGAACACGUGUGCAACCUGCCUUUAUCUGGGGGAUAGCCUUUCGAAAGGAAGAUUAAUACCCCAUAAUAUUUUGAAUGGCAUCAUUUAAAAUUGAAAACUCCGGUGGAUAGAGAUGGGCACGCGCAAGAUUAGAUAGUUGGUAGGGUAACGGCCUACCAAGUCAGUGAUCUUUAGGGGGCCUGGGAGGGUGAUCCCCCACACUGGUACUGAGACACGGACCAGACUCCUACGGGAGGCAGCAGUGAGGAAUAUUGGACAAUGGGUGAGAGCCUGAUCCAGCCAUCCCGCGUGAAGGACGACGGCCCUAUGGGUUGUAAACUUCUUUUGUACAGGGAUAAACCUUUCCACGUGUGGAAAGCUGAAGGUACUGUACGAAUAAGCACCGGGCUACUCCGUG
rnacentral:rRNA from 1 species